GGCGCCGGCCUUGNAUGCACAACAAACUUCUUUGACNGCCANACACACUAUUGNNCUUUGAGACAACAGGCCCGGNGCCCCUUUUUGGGGNGUGGNAUCCGGUUGCNGAUGUCGGCGCUGUUGUUGCCUCACUUUGGUGGUGGGGUGUGGUGUUUGAUUUGUGGAUAGUGGUUGCNAGCAUCUAGCACGCAGUGUGGCUGGGGGCCUUCGGGUUUCCGGUCUUGUUGUGUGUUGAUGUGCAAUUUCUUUUGAAACUCAUUUUUGGUUUUUGUG
rnacentral:misc_RNA from 1 species